GGUGGGGCGGAGCUCGGGAAAAGAAGAAGGCUGGAGGUGCUCAGCUCUUGAUCGCAGAUGAGGGCCAAGGCGACGCUCCGGAGUCGAUUCCGGCAGGGAGGGUCAUUGGGACUCCAUUGGAUCUAUCUGGAUCGCCCAGGACACUGAAGACUGGAACAACAGCAGUGACAUUAUGAUCUGUAUUUGGCACGUAAGUUAACACUAAAUACCUCCCACCCACCCCUAGUGUAAUGGUUUAUUCACAAAAGAAAUAUCAGAACCAGCAUUUGGUGAGAAAGGCAGCAAAGCUCUUGGUUGGCUUUGCCUGUAUAGCCACAACACUUCUCUAACUACAAACCUAAACGCAAAGGGCUAGGUCCUAUACAUUCAGCAAAGGCUGUUUGAAAGCCAAAACCUGGAUCAUAUGUGCUCUAAUAAAAAGACAAGAUAUCUGGAGGAUGUCCCAGAUCUAAUUACUUUUAUGUAUUUUUUAAACCCUAAAUAGAACCAAAAGUCAUUAUUUUCAGCAUUAUUAACAUGUUUAAUUUCUCUCCAUAUAGGUAUGUUUUCUGCAAACUGAAAUCUAAAUUUAACCUUUGUUAACUCUCUCACAGACAGUAUUAUGGUUAAGAACUGGGUAAUACAAGCUAAUGGGUAAAACUAAGAAAGUAUAUAUUACAUAUCUGGUGUAACAAGACCAUAGCUGGAUGUGAAAAUAAAGCCCUAAUGACCAUUUCUCUCCUUAUGUGAAAUCUCCGCUCAUGAAGUUCAAAGAUAGACACAGCAGAGCUUGCAUAUAUUAUUGGUUUUAGAUAAGUAAAUAAUGACAAGAAGGCAGGCAGGAAAGGGGACAGCAAAUAUCACCCUCAGAAACAGUGAGACUGGAGUGCUUUCUACAUACUGUUUUCAGAGAGAAGGCAGUGGUGGCCAACUUAAAAAGGAUACAGCUACUCAGGGAUGGGCAGAGCUCAUAACCACCUGAAAAGAUGAAGAUGAAGUGGCCUCUGGUGAACUGAUGGGCAUUUUUAUGAAUUUUAAAAGUUUGCCAAUAUUUAAUGAUUUUUAAGAACACUGAAAAUCAAAGCCCUUCGGUAAAUGCUACCAAUAAAACUUUUGGCCAUAUGACCCAGGCCAACCAUCCUUUAAUUUCAGUAGACCAAUCUCUGUUUAAUGUUCUGCUGUCUUUAAACAUCCCCAAAUAUACAAGUCUAGAACUUCAUGCCACUAAAGUGCUCAGUUAGGAGUCUAAGAUUAUGCUGUACCAGAGAAAGGCUGACACUCAUGUGCAAAGAAAGAUAGCAGCUUCCAGGACAGGCAGUAAAACAAGGAAAAACCAGUUGGGUCCUGCGUGUGUCUCCACAUCAUUUGCUUCCAUGUUUGAAGAAAGGAGCCUGCUCUUUUGCUAGGCCAUGAGGCUGGAAUCCACUUGGCAUUCUGUGUUGAGAGGUCUAGAGUUCCAUGGUGCUCUCCGCAGCAGCCAGGUGAGGUGACUCUGAGGCUGGGUAACCUGUGCUUUCAGAGAAGCAGGGAAGGGCCCUCUAGGUAUUCUGCAGUCUCUCAGAAGAGUUCAUCAUAGCAAUGAACAGCGGAAGAAACUGGUCUUCUUGGACCGGUUUUCUGUUAUUUUCACUGGCCCACCUGCUCCUGAUGAAUUGCUGUCAUUCUGAAAAAUAGGAUAUGAAGUUGCUAAGGAAACCAAAAUUCCAGGUUUGACACCAAUUACCUACAAAGUAAAAACACACCUGGUGUGGGGAAUAUACUCUAGUACACUCGCACCCAUGCUCACUGCAAAGCUCUAUCAGAGAAGGAAUUAGUUAAGUCUCAGCAUUGUCUUUUUUAUAAGUGGUGAGUUAAAGAGAAAAUAUUCUUAGGCUAGAUAGCACUUCUGUUUUAACCAUGUAGGACACUCUUAUAUCUAGCUUAAGGCAAUUUCAGCCAAGGCCUGUAAGGUGUCAGGAUAAUGAUGGAAACAAGGCUAAGGCAGUAGACAAUAGGGUUAGAAGCAAGAGGAGUUGGUAACAGAAGAUAGUUUUCAUAAGGACCCAUAUUAAAAUGAACUUUAGGGUGUCCUAAAGAUUCAUCACUGACAGUUCAAAUUUAAGCCAACUUCAGCAACUCCAAGAUCAUCAUUAUAUAGAUAAAAAUUAUGUAUUAUAUGAAAACUGAACUAGAUAAUUUUAUGAAAAAAAGCAAUUUCUACCAUUUUUAUUUUCACUAUUUUGAUAGAAAUUCAAUUAACUACCACUUAAGGAGUCAGAGGAAAGAGCUGAGAUAGCUAUAAUACAGAAACAACCCUAAAGCAAUAGAAAUUAGAACCAAGGUACAAUCAUAUGAAAGCAUCAGGAACAAGUAAGUUUAAUGUGAGCAUAUUAUAAUCAUGCUCUCCAUUCUGUUGAGUUUCAUAAAAGGCUGUAUCAUGAAAAUAAAAACUAAAGUGAUACAAA